ACUGCCCCUAGAGGCUUUGCCCUUGUGGCUACUGUAUCACAAGUAUAUCAGGAAGUGGCAGAGAGGAGAGAGACCAUGUCUAUACUCAGUGUUCUGACCUGUAAAUAUCUGAAUGAAUAGUAGCCUAAGACU